UAAUAAACCAGCAGCCCACCGGUAGCAGCAGCGCCACCCUCACGGAGCUGCGGGUGGUGAAUCUGGACAAUCCCAAAGGAGACUGACCCGUAACGCAUGAGGCCGGUGUGACCGUUCACUCACACUGAUAUUCCAGGGAUCACUCAUGCCAUGCAAUCAGACUGCCAUUAUAUUUAUUACUGCCUUCUCGCUGCGUGGGGUUCACAAACCCCUCACAUACGCCAAUAGUGAGGUGUAAUGGGACGUUUGAAGGAUGAUCGCGUCUCCUCACGGACUCGUUUUGGUGGGUAGUGUGAUAAUGGAUGAUUUUUGUUCUCACACGCUUCUAUACAUCAGGAUUUCAUAGAGACGUCUGCAGUAUCGCUGCUGGGUCUUCACCUGUUUUUGCCGAAAGGUGUACAAUUAUGUUCACUUUCAGUAAAUUCAGAUCUCUUCGCUGUACAACAGUCGAAGGAUCUUCAGUUCAAUCUUUCUUUUUCUUUUGGGAAUGCCUCUCUUGAUCUGAUUUGUAAUUCAUUUUUCUUUUGAGGUCAAAAAUGGAUUCUUUCCAGAAUUUAUGUUGUGAAAUCAGCUCUUUGGUAUAGUUUCAAUGGCGGUUUGUGUGUUAUUUAUCGCUUUAAGGAAUGUUUCACUCAGAAAGGACAAUUCUGUCAUCUUCAGAUGCAAAAGGAGUUAUUUUGCAGAAUGUCCAACCUCCUUUCCAUUUAAAUAAAUGGUGACUGAUGCGGUCGAGCUCCAAGUACCACCUUUUUAUAAAAUAAGAUGUUUUUUUUUUUUUUGUCAUUUUUAGAGCUCAAUAGCACCUGUUCCCGUAUAUAAGCAUCAUCAGACUUGGAAAGACAAGAGGGUGAGGAAAUUAUGAGUGAACUUGCUCUAAAAGUAAUGCUGGAUACUCUUGCACUGCCAUCAACACUCACUAGGGGCUUCAUGUACAGUUUGAAUUCAUAAUUUCUUAAAAAUACAAUUUUUCGCCCUCAUCACUUGCUCUUAAGGCCUUUGUUAUUCAAUUGACCCUUCGCUGGGAGUUUGAUUGACAGGCGAUCUGACCAAUCAUAAUGCCAAAUCUGCCAUUUUGUCCGACAAACCAGACAGAGUAGAUUAACGUCGGUAGACUUGAACUUGAAAAAUGUGUAUUGAUGUUGAAACGAGAUACCUUCUAAUGUUCAUUCAUGUUUAUUUUGUGCUAUAACUAGUAAAUAUGAAGAGACGAUCAUUUCAUGUGCCUCUUGAUCUGAGGUGCUACAGCGAUCUGUCACGACACAUUAAAGAGCCACAAAAUGGUAUUUAUUGUUUGAAUUUCUUAAUAAAUUACAAAAUUUGAAAGCUGAGACUGUUUCUUACCAAAAGGUAACCUGCUCUGUCAUGUCUGUCGGCACGUUGUUAGUUUCCUCUUCGCUCCGUGAUGCAUUUUGCGAGAACUUGGUCGGACGUAACAGUAACUAAGGGGGGCAGCGAGGGGUCAAUUACAAGUUAUAGGAUACCCUAAAAUAAUCUGAUUAUUUCUGUGCUGCUAUAAUUUGGAUUUAAACAUGAUCCGUACUGCAAAAAUGUUGGAAAAAGAUUGCAUGUCAUUCCAUGUUGUAAUGCUGUGCCAAAUUAUACUGUACGUCUCGAUAGCUGGAGUUGAGUCUAGCUGUCAGAAGUCGACUUUUCUGCUUCACGUGCUUUCACUUUUAAAGAUGCUGUAAGAGAAAAACACUGACUUGCAUUUGCACUGCAUGACAACGUACCGAAAACGGCGGUGCUGCGCAAUCACAGAUUUCACUCAUUCAGACUGCAAGUUGGACCAUAAAGCCUUUUUCUCGUACUGUUAAACCGAUUUAAAUGGACCACGGCAAUACAGAGAGUUUCAGGAAUGAUGUUUUGUCAUCUUUUUGUGGAUUUUCAGUUUGUGGAUCUGAGCACAACGUGUUGACCUGUUUGACCAGCGCAAACCGGAUAACGAAUGAAAAAAACAUUGUGGGAUUUAUGAAGCGGCCAGAACAAAAGUAUUUGACUCUUUUAUUCAGUAUUAAUGCGUUUUAAGUCCAGGGGAAGACUUUCUUGAGUUGCUUAUGUUCUUGGGUGAAUUUCAUGAAUGCUUUCAAGAACUUGUCCAGGUCGUAUUUCACUCCAAUCCAAAAGAAAAAAUAUAUUUUGCAUUAAGUAUUAAAGGAAUAGUUAACCAAAAAUUUUUAAUUUGCUUAAACUGUACUCAUGCUCAGGCCAUCCAAGAUGUAGAUGAGUUUGUUUCUUCAUCAGAUUUGGAGAAAUGUAGCAUUGCAUCACUUGCUCACCAGUGGAUCCUCUAUAGUGAAUGGGUGCCGUCAGAAUGAGAGUCCAAACAGCUGAUUAAAAACAUCACAAAAAUCCACAUGACUCAGUUCAUCAAAUAAUGCUUUGUGAAGUGAAAAACUGCGUGUUUGUAAGGAACAAAUCCAUCAAGACAUUUUAAACCUUUGCUUUGGGGGAAAAUAUUCUCUCAUUCUGACGGCACCCAUUCACUGCAGAACAUCCACUGGUGAGCAAGUGACGUAAUGCUACAUUUCUCCAAAUCUGAUUUUGGGUGAACUAUUCCUUUUAACACUUUUUUUUUUUUUUUUUUUUUUUUUUUU